rnacentral:rRNA from 1 species
AACGAACGCUGGCGGCAGGCUUAACACAUGCAAGUCGAACGCCCUCUUCGGAGGGAGUGGCAGACGGGUGAGUAACGCGUGGGAACCUACCUUUCGGUACGGAACAACAGUUGGAAACGACUGCUAAUACCGUAUACGUCCUUCGGGAGAAAGAUUUAUCGCCGAUAGAGGGGCCCGCGUUGGAUUAGCUUGUUGGUGAGGUAACGGCUCACCAAGGCGACGAUCCAUAGCUGGUCUGAGAGGAUGAUCAGCCACACUGGGACUUAGACACGGCCCAGACUCCUACGGGAGGCAGCAGUGGGGAAUAUUGGACAAUGGGCGCAAGCCUGAUCCAGCCAUGCCGCGUGAGUGAUGACGGCCCUAGGGUUGUAAAGCUCUUUCAGUGGUGAAGAUAAUGACGGUAACCACAGAAGAAGCCCCCGGCUAA